UCUGCUUAAGACCUAUUAUUCCAGCCAUACAGUUCUACCCAAUCUGGCCACCUCUGUAAGGCUGUUUGAGCCUGGGCUACAUAUUGGAGACAAGAUCUUAGUGCACAGCCACUAACGCAAUGCCUGGGGCACUAAAGCCCAACGUGAGGAAUACUGCGGAAAUGACAUUGCUCCAGUUUCUUGGAUCAGACCUUGAGUGCCUGGCAGCUUCCAGAAUAUUCAAACACUCACCACGACUGUAG
rnacentral:lncRNA from 1 species